rnacentral:rRNA from 1 species
GGCUUACUCUCGUCUGACCGCUCGAGUGUAGUAAAAUGUAAUAUAAAAGGUUUGCGCGGAGCACGGCUCAACAAUGCGAACUGCCAGCGCCUCCUGGUCUCCUUAGACAGGUUCGGCUGAGACUUUGGCUGCGGAAUUACUUCCCUGGCCUGUGUUAAAGCCUCAAUUAUCCGCAAUCCUAUUGUCUGUUGCCAGACAGUGGUAAUGCAGGACCAAAUUGCCUAGAGGGGAGGGCCUUGAACCAGCGCUCAGUUGAGUUGACCGUUAAGUUACACCGCCGCGCAUUCCCUGGGUGUGGGCCAUUACAGCCUCUGCACCGGUCCCAUAUAAGACGUUUGUAAUGUGAGUAAGCUUGACUGUCUGACGGCGCGCUCCAGUCCCUUGUGAUGAAGUCUAUUCCGUACUAUUCGCAGUUUCCACCAGAGCUUACUGGCUGCGGUAAUGCGAGCGCGCUCGCCCAUGAACCCAUCUAGGGUUGAGCGCGCUUGAUCCACCGGUUUCGAUUACCUUUGGGGAAAGAGCCGGGGGGCCGCGCAUUAGCGGUGACGGUUGAAAUGACCUUCCUUGGAGGUCUGAGGGGACUAAUGGAGCGCGCUUGAUCCGUUCGCGUUUUUGUAUUGCGCGACGCUAAUAGACGCCGCAGGUUCCCAUUAGCGAGGAGUUGAGAGAUUAGUGAGAGCAAUUAGAGUCUGAGUUGAAUUUGUGUCUGUUCGCCAUUAACGGAGGCGCUAGCACCGCUGGUGCGCAGGACGCAAGUCCUGGUGGCGUAUCUCUUGGCGACGGAGCGAAGGUGCAGUACUCUGCGCUCACUAGAAAGAU